rnacentral:rRNA from 1 species
UAGGGAAUCUUCGGCAAUGGACGAAAGUCUGACCGAGCAACGCCGCGUGAGUGAAGAAGGUUUUCGGAUCGUAAAACUCUGUUGUUAGAGAAGAACAAGGACGUUAGUAACUGAACGUCCCCUGACGGUAUCUAACCAGAAAGCCACGGCUACCUACGUGCCAGCAGCCGCGGUAAUACGUAGGUGGCAAGCGUUGUCCGGAUUUAUUGGGCGUAAAGCGAGCGCAGGCGGUUUCUUAAGUCUGAUGUGAAAGCCCCCGGCUCAACCGGGGAGGGUCAUUGGAAACUGGGAGGCUUGAGUGCAGAAGAGGAGAGUGGAAUUCCAUGUGUAGCGGUGAAAUGCGUAGAUAUAUGGAGGAACACCAGUGGCGAAGGCGGCUCUCUGGUCUGUAACUGACGCUGAGGCUCGAAAGCGUGGGGAGCAAACAGG